rnacentral:lncRNA from 1 species
GCAAGGUAACAUCAACAUGCCAAAAUAAUUUCAUUAUUUAGGGAAAUUCAUUGCCCCCUUGGUUCAAUUAUAGAUUAGCUUGGGGAAUUAUGCAACCCCAUAAGGUUCAAUUCAAAAUCAUUAUGCUUUAUUGACCUUUUCACAUUAUGCAAUAGUUCAAGAGUAGUUUAAUAUGCAUACUCUUCAUAUUCAAAACCAAUUUCACAAUAUGGGGUUGGGGUCAUUACCACUCAAAAGUCUUAAGUUGGGGGAAAUCACUAUCCCUCAUUUGUUCACCA